ACGAACGCUGGCGGCGUGCUUAACACAUGCAAGUCGAACGGAAAGGCCCUGCUUUUGUGGGGUGCUGGAGUGGCGAACGGGUGAGUAACACGUGAGUAACCUGCCCUUGACUUUGGGAUAACUUCAGGAAACUGGGGCUAAUACCGGAUAGGAGCUCCUGCUGCAUGGUGGGGGUUGGAAAGUUUCGGCGGUUGGGGAUGGACUCGCGGCUUAUCAGCUUGUUGGUGGGGUAGUGGCUUACCAAGGCUUUGACGGGUAGCCGGCCUGAGAGGGUGACCGGCCACAUUGGGACUGAGAUACGGCCCAGACUCCUACGGGAGGCAGCAGUGGGGAAUAUUGCACAAUGGGCGGAAGCCUGAUGCAGCAACGCCGCGUGCGGGAUGACGGCCUUCGGGUUGUAAACCGCUUUCGCCUGUGACGAAGCGUGAGUGACGGUAAUGGGUAAAGAAGCACCGGCUAACUACGUG
rnacentral:rRNA from 1 species